UGGUCCCAGCCUUCAAAUCAGUUCUUACUUAAUAUACACAUGCAAGUCUCCGCACCCCCGUGAAAACGCCCUUAAAUCCCCACAGGGAUAAGGAGCUGGUAUCAGGCUCAACUUAAGCCCAAGACACCUAGCCAUGCCACACCCACAAGGGAACUCAGCAGUGAUUAACAUUGACAAUGAGCGCAAGCUUGAUUCAGUCAAAGUAAAAUAGAGCCGGCAAAUACUGUGUGCCAGCCGCCGCGGCUACACCACGAGGCUCAAAUUGAUUACUACCGGCGUAAAGCGUGAUUAAAGCUUAUUUAAACUGUAGUUAAACUAAAACUAAGCCGUUGUACGCUUGUUUAAUUGAAACCCAAAAACGAAAGUUACUACAACAUAAUCAACUUGAACUCACGACAGCUAAGAAACAAACUGGGAUUAGAUACCUCACUAUGCUUAGCCUUAAACUUUAACUUACAUUCAAACCGCCAGGGGAUUACGAGCAAAGCUUAAAACCCAAGGGACUUGACGGUACCCCACAUCCACCUAGAGGAGCCUGUCCUAUAAUUGAUAAUCCCCGUUUAACCUCACCACUUUUAGCCUACUCAGCCUGUAUACCUCCGUCGUCAGCUUACCACGUGAGCGCCCCCAGUGAGCACGAUGUCCACUCGUCAAAACGUCAGGUCAAGGUGCAGCUUAUAAAGUGGGAAGAGAUUGGCUACACUCUCUAACUUAGAAAACACGAAAGACUAUUUAUGAAACCUAGUCAGAAGGCGGAUUUAGCAGUAAACGGGGAUAAGAAAGCCCCCUUUAAUCAGGCACUGGGGUGUGUACACACCGCCCGUCACCCUCUUCAAUACCAAAAAACUAGUAUUUAACCCAAUCCAGACAAAUAAGAAGAGGCAAGUCGUAACAUGGUAAGUAUACCGGAAGGUGUGCUUGGAAA
rnacentral:ncRNA from 1 species